GAUGAACGCUAGCUACAGGCUUAACACAUGCAAGUCGAGGGGCAGCGCAGUGUAGCAAUACAUGGGCGGCGACCGGCGCACGGGUGCGUAACGCGUAUCCAACUUUCCCGUUACUCUGGGAUAGCCUUCCGAAAGGGAGAUUAAUACGAGAUGGUGUUCUAAUUCCGCAUGUUAUUAGAACUAAAGAUUUAUCGGUAACGGAUAGGGAUGCGUGACAUUAGGUAGUAGGCGGGGUAACGGCCCACCUAGUCUACGAUGUCUAGGGGUUCUGAGAGGAAGGUCCCCCACACUGGAACUGAGACACGGUCCAGACUCCUACGGGAGGCAGCAGUGAGGAAUAUUGGUCAAUGGUCGGAAGACUGAACCAGCCAAGUAGCGUGAAGGAUGAAGGUUCUAUGGAUUGUAAACUUCUUUUAUACGGGAAUAAAACCUCCCACGUGUGGGAGCUUGUAUGUACCGUAUGAAUAAGCAUCGGCUAACUCCGUG
rnacentral:rRNA from 1 species